UGCCAGCCGCCUGCGCCUGUGGGUGCCGGGGCCACCGGUGGUGACGGCGUAGGCUUUCCUCGUGCGUGCUGGGCAGCUGCCAGGACAGGCUCUCCUUAGUUCAUUGCUAUGGCUUUGCUGCCACUGAAGUUUGCACAUUGGAAGCAGCGUGUGCUUUUGCAGAGAGAGAGAGAGCUCAGCCUUACUGCCUCUCGGGUGUGGCCAGCCCUCCUCACCUGGACCCUUUCCAGCCCAUCCAUUCUGUCUCUCAUCGGCUCUGCCAACGUGUCCCAAGCAGCCUUUCUGAGCUGAAAAAAAUGCUCUUGGACAUCGCCAUGACUGCCCCCGUCCCAGCUUGUACAGGGAGGUAAAGAUUUCUGUGAAUCCUGUAGGUGGUUUCAACAGUUCACCCAUCCCUUCCUCUUGGAAAUCCCACUCCGGUUUUUCCCACUCCUCCACGUGGCUCCCUCCAAACCAUGUCUUAGUUCCUCCUGUGUUCGCCCUGGCCUGUUCAACACUGACCACCCACAGAUUCCCCCUCUCCCGCCUCUGCUCACAGGGGAUGAGCUCCAGCCCAAGGUUUCUAUUCUAGAGUCCAAUGGGCUGCCAGGGCUUUG
rnacentral:lncRNA from 1 species